UCUGCCACUGUAAGAAAUAUCUUCUCCUCGCCGAUGAGGCUCGCCAGCUUCGACGCAUGCACCUUGUCCAUCACGACGGGUCCGGGAUUUGCCAGGACCAGCUGGUGGGACAAUACAUAUAUGCAGUUAAAGCCAUUUAAGGGUUCUCAGCAACUCCUCCAACGCAUGGAUGCCGCUCGUGUCGAUGUCCGUGACGGCUGCCAAAUCAAACAUCAUUACAAUGAAGGAUGCCGAGAACAGAGGUACUAUAUCAGUUCGUUGAUUCAUAAAUAUGAAUAGAAAUUUGUAAUAUUAAAAGUUAGCAGCAUUUGAUAUGUUUUGCGAUGCCAACUGAUAUUAAUGAAUCAACAAACUGAUUUAAUCUCA